rnacentral:rRNA from 1 species
UGCCGCGUGUGUGAAGAAGGCCUUCGGGUUGUAAAGCACUUUUGUCCGGAAAGAAAAGCAUUCGGUUAAUAACCGGGUGUCAUGACGGUACCGGAAGAAUAAGCACCGGCUAACUUCGUGCCAGCAGCCGCGGUAAUACGAAGGGUGCAAGCGUUACUCGGAAUUACUGGGCGUAAAGCGUGCGUAGGUGGUUCGUUAAGUCUGAUGUGAAAGCCCUGGGCUCAACCUGGGAAUGGCAUUGGAUACUGGCGACCUAGAGUGCGGUAGAGGGGUGUGGAAUUCCCGGUGUAGCAGUGAAAUGCGUAGAUAUCGGGAGGAACAUCUGUGGCGAAGGCGACACCCUGGACCAGCACUGACACUGAGGCACGAAAGCGUGGGGAGCAAACAGGAUUAGAUACCCUGGUAGUCCACGCCCUAAACGAUGCGAACUGGAUGUUGGGUGCAACUUGGCACUCAGUAUCGAAGCUAACGCGUUAAGUUCGCCGCCUGGGAAGUACGGUCGCAAGACUGAAACUCAAAGGAAUUGACGGGGGCCCGCACAAGCGGUGGAGUAUGUGGUUUAAUUCGAUGCAACGCGAAGAACCUUACCUGGCCUUGACAUGUCUGGAAUCCCUGAGAGAUC